rnacentral:rRNA from 1 species
GACGAACGCUGGCGGCGUGCCUAAUACAUGCAAGUCGAACGCAGUGGGGACGGGUGCGUAACACGUGGGUCACCUCCCAUCAGAGGGGAUAACACUUGGCAACAGGUGCUACACUGAUACUGAUGGAUGGACCCGCGGUGCAUUAGCUAGUUGGUGGGGUAACGGCUCACCAAGGCGACGAUGCAUAGCUGGCCUGAGAGGAGGAUCGGCCACACUGGGACUGAGACACGGCCCAGACUCCGACGGGAGGCAGAAGUAGGGAAUAUUCGACAAUGGGAGAAAGUCUGACCGAGCAAUGCCGGGUGAGUGAAGAAGGCUUUCGGUUCGUAAAGCACUGGUAGGAGGGAGGCGGUAUCUAAACAGGAAGCAACGGCUAACUACGUGCCAGCAGCCGCGGUAAUUC